CAGCACGGGGACAACUGGAAAAGGGGCAGCAGAGAAGCCAGGUCCUGCAUGCUAUGUCUCAAAUGAUGGUGCUGCCAUGCUUACAUUUGAAGCACUCUCCGGGACUUAUGAUUUUGCAAGGAAAUGGGUUCCAUUCUAUAAGAAGUUCUGCAUUAAACCACGGGCUCCUAAAUGGUAUUUUGCUCAAAAGGUUGACUACUUGAAGGAUAGGGUGGAUGCCGCAUUUAUAAGAGAACGUCAUGCCAUUAAGGAAGCUUCUCCUAACAAAAAGGGAAGGUCAAAACAUUCACAAUGGAGAAACUAUGACGAUUUAAAUGAAUAUUUCUAGUAUAGUUAAUGAUUAAAAUUUUCUCUUCUAUUCAUUGUCAUACCUAUCGAUGAGUUGAUUUUUAACAACAUAAUUGUAGGUCUGCUGAUUGUUUUCGAUUAGGUUGGCCAAUGUGUGCUGAUGCUGAUUUCUUUUGCCUGCCAGCUGAAAAGCUGGUUUUUGAUAAAUCAAAUGUGAAUGGGUUGCAUGCUCAGUUGGUGCUAAAUUUACUCCUCAUAUCAUCACUGUUAAUUCUGGAGAGGUAAGUGUCCGAAAUAUCUAUUGCCUAUAAGUUGUGCUCUUGUUAUGCAAUGCAAAAUAACAUUUCUAAUAUUUAUGUUCAGGGAAUAGCCAAAAUGAUUGUGGAAUAAUAUUAUUAUCUGACAUUUUUCUUGGGUGGAAGCACAACUUUCACCAAAAAUAGUCAUUGCAUAUUUGUGACCUUUUUUUAUCCUUAUGCAGUUGGUGUUGUUAGCAAAUUUUUGGCUAAACCAAGAAAAGAGCAUUGAAAUGUUGUGAAGUGGAUUUUAAGAUAUGUUAGAGCCAACUUCCAAAGUUUGAUGCUUCUCAUGGCCUUGUAGAAUAUAAUAAGAUAGACUUAA